rnacentral:rRNA from 1 species
CCUACGGGUGGCAGCAGUGAGGAAUAUUGGUCAAUGGACGAGACUCUGAACCAGCCAAGUCGCGUGAAGGAUGACUGCCCUAUGAGUUGUAAACUUCUUUUAUAAAGGAAUAAAACGAGGCACGUGUGCCUUAUUGCAUGUACUUUAUGAAUACGGAUCGGCUAACUCCGUGCCAGCAGCCGCGGUAAUACGGAGGAUCCGAGCGUUAUCCGGAUGUAGUGGGUUUAGAGGGAGCGUAGAUGGGUUGUUAAGUCAGUUGUGAAAGUUUGAGGCUUAACCGUAAAAUUGCAAUUGAUACUGGCAGUCUUGAGUACAGUUGAGGUAGGCGGAAUUCGUGGUGUAGCGGUGAAAUGCUUAGAUAUCAAGAAGAACACUGAUUGCGAAGGCAGCUUACUAAACUGUGACUGACAUUGAUGCGCGAAAGUGUGGGUAUCAAACAGGAUUAGAUACCCCGGUAGUC